UACGGAGGAUCCAAGCGUUAUCCGGAUUUAUUGGGUUUAAAGGGUGCGUAGGCGGCCUGUUAAGUCAGGGGUGAAAGACGGUAGCUCAACUAUCGCAGUGCCCUUGAUACUGAUGGGCUUGAAUUGACUAGAGGUAGGCGGAAUGUGACAAGAGCGGUGAAAUGCAUAGAUAUGUCACAGAACACCGAUUGCGAAGGCAGCUUACUAUGGUCUUAUUGACGCUGAGGCACGAAAGCGUGGGGAUCAAACAGG
rnacentral:rRNA from 1 species